rnacentral:rRNA from 1 species
UUAGAGUUUGAUCCUGGCUCAGAACGUACGCUGGCGGCACGCCUAAUACAUGCAAGUCGAACGAAGUAGCAAUACUUAGUGGCAGACGGGUGAGUAACAUGUAGGUAUCUACCCUUUGGCCUGGAAUAACACGAGGAAACUUGUGCUAAUACCGGAUAAGUCUUUACGGAGAAAGCUUUAUGCACCAUUGGAUGAGCCUGCACUUGAUUAGUUUGUUGGUGGGGUAAUGGCCUACCAAGACAAUGAUCAAUAGCUGAUUUGAGAGGAUGAUCAGCCACAUUGGGACUGAGACACGGCCCAAACUCCUACGGGAGGCAGCAGUAGGGAAUCUUGCACAAUGGAGGAAACUCUGAUGCAGCGAUGCCGCGUGAGUGAAGAAGGCCUUUGGGUUGUAAAGCUCUUUCGUCGGGGAAGAAAAUGACUGUACCCGAAUAAGAAGGUCCGGCUAACUUCGUGCCAGCAGCCGCGGUAAUACGAAGGAACCUAGCGUAGUUCGGAAUUACUGGGCUUAAAGAGUUCGUAGGUGGUUAAAAAAGUUGGUGGUGAAAUCCCAGAGCUUAACUCUGGAACUGCCAUCAAAACUUUUUAGCUAGAGUAUGAUAGAGGAAAGCGGAAUUUCUAGUGUAGAGGUGAAAUUCGUAGAUAUUAGAAAGAAUACCGAUUGCGAAGGCAGCUUUCUGGAUCAUUACUGACACUGAGGAACGAAAGCAUGGGUAGCGAAGAGGAUUAGAUACCCUCGUAGUCCAUGCCGUAAACGAUGUGUGUUAGACGUUGGAAAUUUAUUUUCAGUGUCGCAGCGAAAGCGAUAAACACACCGCCUGGGGAGUACGACCGCAAGGUUAAAACUCAAAUGAAUUGACGGGGACCCGCACAAGUAGUGGAGCAUGUGGUUUAAUUCGAAGAUACGCGCAGAACCUUACCAACACUUGACAUGUUCGUCGCGACUCUAAGAGAUUAGAGUUUUCGGUUCGGCCGGACGAAACACAGGUGCUGCAUGGCUGUCGUCAGCUCGUGUCGUGAGAUGUUGGGUUAAGUCCCGCAACGAGCGCAACCCUUACUUUUAGUUGCCAUCAUUUAGUUGGGCACUCUGAAAGAACUGCCAGUGAUAAGCUGGAGGAAGGUGGGGAUGACGUCAAGUCCUCAUGGCCCUUAUGUGUUGGGCUACACACGUGCUACAAUGGUAUCUACAACAGGAAGCAAGAUGGCAACGUUAAGCAAAUCCCAAAAAGAUACCUCAGUUCGGAUUGCACUCUGCAACUCGAGUGCAUGAAGCUGGAAUUACUAGUAAUCGUGGAUCAGCGUGCCACGGUGAAUACGUUCCCGGGUCUUGUACACACCGCCCGUCACACCAUGGGAGUUGGUUCUACCUUAAGGCAAAGUUUAAAACCUUUGACCACGGUAUAGUCAGCGACUGGGGUGAAGUCGUAACAAGGUAACC